GGUGGCGGAAGGGUCAAGCCGCGCCACGCAGCGAGAGCGCGUCCCCGCGGGGUCUCGCCGGGACCACAAAUCCCGGCAUGCCUCGCGCGUGGCGAGGCUUGUCGCGGGGGUUGCCCCUGGGAGAAUGACAUUGAUAAACCGAAAUCGUUUCAGUUCAAUUAAUAAUUUGGAUCCGCGGGACUCGUUUAUCCUUGGGCGGCGCCUGUGCCCCGCGCCCCGGCGGCGCGGUCUGCAGCGGUGCCCCGCUGUCCCGGUGGGGACGUGGCGUUCGGGGAUGCCGAGGGCUCCGUGCUGGCAGUGAAACCCCUCGAGGCAACGCUCUGCCAGCGGUUUUUUUAAAUUAUUUUAAAUUCUGGGGGCAGAGGAGGGGUGUAACAGCGUUCACUUCUUCCAGUCGCUCAGCUGCCAGCAUCUUCAGCGGGAAGGCCGUGCACGUGGAUACAGAUCCAUCAUUAAUGACAAAAGUUACAGGGUUACAGGGGACAAUUUUGCCUGCUCUGCCCAGCUCUGUCAGGCAGCACUGCCCCCCUGCCUGAGAUGCAGCAGUCCCGCAGAAAGCACAUCGGCAAGGACUAGGAGCAAGCAGUACAUGAAAAAAUUCAUUUUCUUAUAUAGACAUUGUUUCUGUGUCCACUCCUGAAUCUGCACGUGUUGAGAAGUGAGGAUUUUGUGCUAAUUUCAAGGGAACAUUUGCUGUCAUCUACAUUUACUGCAGGGUUUUUCAUCACCCAGAUUUUGGAGGCAUGAGAGGUGUGAAUGGCAACUGUACAGCAUCCUGGCCCUUCCAGAGGAAAUCCAUCUGAACAUUGGACAGUUAGUUUUUUGUUUGGCAUACAAGUGCUACUUGAACAAAGUAAUACUGUCCCAAGCAGUUUGCUAUUGUGCAAUGACAUCACAGAAGUCUCUAGAAUGGUUACUUCUGGGAGCAGCAGCCACUCAGGCUGUUGGCUUACACCAGAGCUGUAACUGGGGUAGAUUUCCAUGUGCUACACAAAGCUCUGCAGACUUGUCAACCUGCAGAACUGAGCUCAGCUCUCCUCAUAUUUGUUCUCUCCCUGGUUUGAGUUUGCUACAGCUACUUCCCCAUCUCACUCACAGGGAGCUGUAGGUCUGGGAGUCCAUGUGUUCCUCAGGCAGCUUCAUAGCAUUGUCCUGGCUGGAGCCAUACAUGACUCCCUACACUGUGCCAGCACUGAGAAAGCCAUGUAACACCAAUUUCCCCUAUGGGAAGAAGCAAACCAGCCCAGGCUGCUGCUGUCCUCUCCAUUCAGGAGUGGACCACUGUAAACCCCUUCUGGCCCCCUUAGCCCUGGAGGAAUAUGGAUGUGUGUGGUGGAU